GAUGAACGCUGGCGGCGUGCCUAAUACAUGCAAGUCGAGCGAACAGACGAGGAGCUUGCUCCUCUGACGUUAGCGGCGGACGGGUGAGUAACACGUGGAUAACCUACCUAUAAGACUGGGAUAACUUCGGGAAACCGGAGCUAAUACCGGAUAAUAUAUUGAACCGCAUGGUUCAAUAGUGAAAGACGGUUUUGCUGUCACUUAUAGAUGGAUCCGCGCCGCAUUAGCUAGUUGGUAAGGUAACGGCUUACCAAGGCAACGAUGCGUAGCCGACCUGAGAGGGGGACGGGCCCCCCUGGACCUAGGAACCGGUCCAACUCCCUAGGGGAGGCAGCGUUUGGGAUCUUUCCCAAAUGGGCGAAAGCCUGACGGAGCAACCCCGGGUGGGUGAUGAGGGGUUUCGGAUCGUAAAACCCUUUUUUUGGGAAAAAAAAAAUGGGUAAGUAACUAUGCCGGUCUUGCCGGUACCUAAACAGAAAGCCCCGGUUACCUACGU
rnacentral:rRNA from 1 species